AUCACUUCUCAGGCUUUUGGCUGAAAUCAAGUGUAGAAUCUGUUCUUAUCAAUUUAAUAAGUACUGUGGAAAAUUUAAAAACUACCACUGGAUAUCCAGAACUCUGAACUUCUUAUAGCCUAGUUCAUAGAUCUAUUACUAUAGCCUAGUUCAUAGAUCUAUUACUA
ensembl:snRNA U2 U2 spliceosomal RNA